GAAACUUUUAUUUUAAUUAGAAUAUUUCACUUACAAUGAAGAGGUAAAAAGUUUU
rnacentral:tRNA from 1 species